UACGUAGGGGGCAAGCGUUGUCCGGAAUCAUUGGGCGUAAAGCGCGCGUAGGCGGCCCGGUAAGUCCGCUCUGAAGGUCCAGGGCUCAACCCUGGAAAGCGGGUGGAUACUGCCGGGCUAGAAUCCGGAAGAGGCGAGUGGAAUUCCUGGUGUAGCGGUGGAAUGCGCAGAUAUCAGGAGGAACACCAAUAGCGAAGGCAGCUCGCUGGGACGGUAUUGACGCUAAGGCGCGAAAGCGUGGGGAGCAAACAGG
rnacentral:rRNA from 1 species